GCACACUGCCCUACAACAAGUGGCUCAGUUGAAAAAUAUGCAGCGCUUGCUAAAGUGUUAAGCUGGUGCAUGCAGUGCGUGGAAUGCAACUGCAUACCCAACUCCCAUCCCAAAACAUGACCAGAUGCAGCAAAGCACUAAACGAAACAGUAAAAAAAAAAACAAUAAAAUAACACUUCCAACCUUUCCUUUCCGUUACUCCGCCAAGGGACUUCAAGGAACCAUGAUUGUUAAGCCUAAACCAGAUCGUGUAGAUUGCCUUCAUCGCACUCGGAGUGGGUGCAAAACAAAAGACGACACUGUCUGUCACCUCCCCCCACUGCCAGGCUUUGCACGCGGCACGCAUGCUUUGUCGGCGGCAGGUGUUGUGGCCACCAGACGUGCAGAAAGAGUGGAGAAGGGGAGAGAGAGAAAAACAGAUGGAAGAGCAAAAAAUGACAGAUGAAUUGAAGAAGAGAGGUAAAUCCACCUGCAGCGAGGGCAUAGAAAGGGCCUAACACAACACAAAUGGCAGAGACGAGAGUGAAUAACCCAGCACUGAAGGAAGACAAAGAAGAAAGAAAAAAAGAGAGAUAGACAAUGAAACUGGAGAAUGUCAAAAUGCAAUGUGAGGCCACCUGUGUGACAGGAAGAGCGAGGAAAAGAAACAAAGAAAAAGGGACAGGCUGGACGUACAAGGCUACAAAGUUGACGCAGAAUGAACGAAAAGCAACACCCUGCUCCUGUGGCUCGCGUGUGGUGGAAAAAUUUUCAGAAGCCCCCUCCGCUGGCAAAUCUUCUACGCCUCUGCUUUGAUAUGAGGAACAGAGCCACCUUUUGCAUAACAGCUGCACUCCAAGGUGGGACUCUUCACUGUCAUGGCUGAGUGGAUGCCAAGGUGGAAAAAAUAAACAGCAUUGCACUGAGA
rnacentral:lncRNA from 1 species